UACGUAGGGUGCAAGCGUUAAUCGGAAUUACUGGGCGUAAAGCGUGCGCAGGCGGCUUUGCAAGACAGAUGUGAAAUCCCCCGGGCUUAACCUGGGAACUGCAUUUGUGACUGCAUAGCUAGAGUACGGUAGAGGGGGAUGGAAUUCCGCGUGUAGCAGUGAAAUGCGUAGAGAUGCGGAGGAACACCGAUGGCGAAGGC
rnacentral:rRNA from 1 species